rnacentral:rRNA from 1 species
CCUACGGGUGGCAGCAGUGAGGAAUAUUGGUCAAUGGGCGCGAGCCUGAACCAGCCAAGUAGCGUGAAGGAUGACUGUCCUACGGGUUGUAAACUUCUUUUAUAAAGGAAUAAAGUGAGGCACGUGUGCCUUUUUGUAUGUACUUUAUGAAUAAGGAUCGGCUAACUCCGUGCCAGCAGCCGCGGUAAUACGUAGGAUCCGAGCGUUAUCCGGAUUUAUUGGGUUUAAAGGGAGCGUAGGUGGGUUGUUAAGUCAGUGGUGAAAGGUUUUGGCUCAACCGUAAAAUUGCACUUGAUACUGGCAGUCUUGAGUACAGUUGAGGCAGGCGGAAUGCGUGGUGUAGCGGUGAAAUGCUUAGAUAUCACGCAGAACCCCGAUUGCGAAGGCAGCUUACUAA